UGUUAAAAAUUUUACCCAUUUGUACAAUUAAAAACUGGCGUGGCUAAUGGAAUAAUUAGACAUGUCACGAGUACCUCAGGUUGAUGUAUAGAAACCAAUCUUUAACAGUAGAAAUAAAUAAAUUUUUUAACA
rfam:Gossypium hirsutum cultivar TM-1 unplaced genomic scaffold scaffold783.1, whole genome shotgun sequence